rnacentral:lncRNA from 1 species
GACGUUCUGGGUGAUUAUCGUUGGUUUCUUGGUUCGUUAAUUUUGGGAGUUUUCGAUGGGUUUUCCAUGACAAAGUCCUAUGGAAUCAGAAACCCAACUGUAAAAGAAUAACAAAAAGUGAGCUAAAGAUGUUUAAGAGAGUCUGCAAAAAAAAGCAAAGAGGAUAAGAAAAGGGAAAGAACACAUUUAUCUUUUUCACAAACAAUUGAG